rnacentral:rRNA from 2 species
GAGGUUAAGCGACUAAGCGUACACGGUGGAUGCCCUGGCAGUCAGAGGCGAUGAAGGACGUGCUAAUCUGCGAAAAGCGUCGGUAAGGUGAUAUGAACCGUUAUAACCGGCGAUGUCCGAAUGGGGAAACCCAGUGCAAUUCGUUGCACUAUCGUUAACUGAAUACAUAGGUUAACGAGGCGAACCGGGGGAACUGAAACAUCUAAGUACCCCGAGGAAAAGAAAUCAACCGAGAUUCCCCCAGUAGCGGCGAGCGAACGGGGAGCAGCCCAGAGUCUGAAUCAGCUUGUGUGUUAGUGGAACGGUCUGGAAAGUCCGACGGUACAGGGUGAUAGUCCCGUACACCAAAAUGCACAGGUUGUGAACUCGAAGAGUAGGGCGGGACACGUGGUAUCCUGUCUGAAUAUGGGGGGACCAUCCUCCAAGGCUAAAUACUCCUGACUGACCGAUAGUGAACCAGUACCGUGAGGGAAAGGCGAAAAGAACCCCGGCGAGGGGAGUGAAAAAGAACCUGAAACCGUGUACGUACAAGCAGUGGGAGCACCUUCGGGUGUGACUGCGUACCUUUUGUAUAAUGGGUCAGCGACUUAUAUUCUGUAGCAAGGUUAACCGUAUAGGGGAGCCGCAGGGAAACCGAGUCUUAACUGGGCGUUAAGUUGCAGGGUAUAGACCCGAAACCCGGUGAUCUAGCCAUGGGCAGGUUGAAGGUUGGGUAACACUAACUGGAGGACCGAACCGACUAAUGUUGAAAAAUUAGCGGAUGACUUGUGGCUGGGGGUGAAAGGCCAAUCAAACCGGGAGAUAGCUGGUUCUCCCCGAAAGCUAUUUAGGUAGCGCCUCGUGAAUUCAUCUUCGGGGGUAGAGCACUGUUUCGGCUAGGGGGUCAUCCCGACUUACCAACCCGAUGCAAACUACGAAUACCGAAGAAUGUUAUCACGGGAGACACACGGCGGGUGCUAACGUCCGUCGUGAAGAGGGAAACAACCCAGACCGCCAGCUAAGGUCCCAAAGUCAUGGUUAAGUGGGAAACGAUGUGGGAAGGCACAGACAGCCAGGAUGUUGGCUUAGAAGCAGCCAUCAUUUAAAGAAAGCGUAAUAGCUCACUGGUCGAGUCGGCCUGCGCGGAAGAUGUAACGGGGCUAAACCAUGCACCGAAGCUGCGGCAGCGACACGAUGUGUUGUUGGGUAGGGGAGCGUUCUGUAAGCCUGCGAAGGUGACCUGUGAGGGUUGCUGGAGGUAUCAGAAGUGCGAAUGCUGACAUAAGUAACGAUAAAGCGGGUGAAAAGCCCGCUCGCCGGAAGACCAAGGGUUCCUGUCCAACGUUAAUCGGGGCAGGGUGAGUCGACCCCUAAGGCGAGGCCGAAAGGCGUAGUCGAUGGGAAACAGGUUAAUAUUCCUGUACUUGGUGUUACUGCGAAGGGGGGACGGAGAAGGCUAUGUUAGCCGGGCGACGGUUGUCCCGGUUUAAGCAUGUAGGCUGGUUAUCCAGGCAAAUCCGGAUAAUCAAGGCUGAGGUGUGAUGACGAGGUACUACGGUGCUGAAGUAACAAAUGCCCUGCUUCCAGGAAAAGCCUCUAAGCAUCAGGUAACAUCAAAUCGUACCCCAAACCGACACAGGUGGUCAGGUAGAGAAUACCAAGGCGCUUGAGAGAACUCGGGUGAAGGAACUAGGCAAAAUGGUGCCGUAACUUCGGGAGAAGGCACGCUGGUGUGUAGGUGAAGUCCCUGCGGAUGGAGCUGAGACCAGUCGAAGAUACCAGCUGGCUGCAACUGUUUAUUAAAAACACAGCACUGUGCAAACACGAAAGUGGACGUAUACGGUGUGACGCCUGCCCGGUGCCGGAAGGUUAAUUGAUGGGGUUAUCCGUAAGGAGAAGCUCUUGAUCGAAGCCCCGGUAAACGGCGGCCGUAACUAUAACGGUCCUAAGGUAGCGAAAUUCCUUGUCGGGUAAGUUCCGACCUGCACGAAUGGCGUAAUGAUGGCCAGGCUGUCUCCACCCGAGACUCAGUGAAAUUGAACUCGCUGUGAAGAUGCAGUGUACCCGCGGCAAGACGGAAAGACCCCGUGAACCUUUACUAUAGCUUGACACUGAACAUUGAGCCUUGAUGUGUAGGAUAGGUGGGAGGCUUUGAAGCGUGGACGCCAGUCUGCGUGGAGCCAACCUUGAAAUACCACCCUUUAAUGUUUGAUGUUCUAACGUGGGCCCCUAAUCGGGGUUGCGGACAGUGUCUGGUGGGUAGUUUGACUGGGGCGGUCUCCUCCCAAAGCGUAACGGAGGAGCACGAAGGUUAGCUAAUCCUGGUCGGACAUCAGGAGGUUAGUGCAAUGGCAUAAGCUAGCUUGACUGCGAGCGUGACGGCGCGAGCAGGUGCGAAAGCAGGUCAUAGUGAUCCGGUGGUUCUGAAUGGAAGGGCCAUCGCUCAACGGAUAAAAGGUACUCCGGGGAUAACAGGCUGAUACCGCCCAAGAGUUCAUAUCGACGGCGGUGUUUGGCACCUCGAUGUCGGCUCAUCACAUCCUGGGGCUGAAGUAGGUCCCAAGGGUAUGGCUGUUCGCCAUUUAAAGUGGUACGCGAGCUGGGUUUAGAACGUCGUGAGACAGUUCGGUCCCUAUCUGCCGUGGGCGCUGGAGAAUUGAGGGGGGCUGCUCCUAGUACGAGAGGACCGGAGUGGACGCAUCACUGGUGUUCGGGUUGUCAUGCCAAUGGCACUGCCCGGUAGCUAAAUGCGGAAGAGAUAAGUGCUGAAAGCAUCUAAGCACGAAACUUGCCCCGAGAUGAGUUCUCCCUGAGACUUUAAGUCUCCUGAAGGAACGUUGAAGACGACGACGUUGAUAGGCCGGGUGUGUAAGCGCAGCGAUGCGUUGAGCUAACCGGUACUAAUGAACCGUGAGGCUUAACCUUA